GGAGAGGUGUCCGAGUGGUCGAAGGUGCACGAUUGGAAGUCGUGUAAGGUCAAAAGCCUUCGGGGGUUCGAAUCCCCCCCUCUCCG
rnacentral:tRNA from 1 species